AUUUUAUAUAAGAAAAAUAAUAAAAAAUAAUUUUGUAGGGAAUAUUAAUAAUAAAUUUAUUAAAGUUGGAGGGUACCCACCAUAUCAAUUUGUGUUACUAUUGAAGUGAAAUCGAGAAUCUGCAAGGCGAAGCCCUAACUUAGCUUGAAAAUGGAAGAGCAACAGUAUCAAAUUCCAAGAGUGAAACUUGGGAAACAUGGACCGGAGGUUUCUAAGCUGGGAUUAGGAUGCGCUGGACUUUCUGGACUGCUGAAUGCUCCUCUCUCCCAUGAAGAUGGCUGUUCUGUCAUAAAGCAGGCUUUUUCUAGAGGUGUCACCUUCUUUGAUACAGCCGAUAUCUAUGGUCAAAAACAUGAUAAUGAGAUUAUGCUUGGCAAGGCCCUGAAGCAGCUUCCUCGCGAAAAAGUUCAAUUGGCGACAAAAUUUGGGUUCGUGGCGUCAGAGGAUGCUCUGCAAUUUGACGUUAAGGGCAGCCCUGAAUAUGUUAGGAAAUGCUGUGAAGCUAGUCUCAAACGACUUGACGUUGACUACAUUGAUCUGUAUUAUCAGCACCGUGUGGAUACUUCAGUGCCAAUAGAGGAUACUAUGGGAGAGCUUAAGAAGCUGGUAGAUGAAGGAAAGAUAAAGUACAUUGGUUUAUCAGAAGCAAGUCCAGACACAAUAAGGAGAGCCCAUGCAAUUCAUCCCAUCACUGCCCUACAGAUGGAGUAUUCUCUGUGGACUCGUGAUAUUGAAGAUGAGAUAAUUCCCCUUUGCCGAGAACUUGGUAUUGGGAUAGUAGCGUAUAGUCCUCUUGGUAUUGGGUUUUUUGCUGGGAAGGCAGUCGUGGAAAGCUUACCCAGUGAGAAUGUCGUGGCACAGGCACAUCCAAGAUUCAAACAAGAGAAUAUAGAGAAGAACAAAAUCCUAUAUACCCGACUUGCGAACUUGGCUGCAAAGCAUGGCUGCACCCCUCCUCAGUUAGCUCUGGCGUGGCUUCUCCAUCAAGGGAAUGACAUAGUCCCAAUUCCUGGUAUGAAAGGCUGAACUCUUUUGCUUAGUUAUUUGAUAUCCAGGGUGUCCUCAUCAUUCAAAAUGCAUGAAACCAUAGGAACACUUGGCAGUAAGAAACUUGAUAAAUGCAAUAGUUUUAAGCAUGAUUAAAGAUUUGUAGUAACCAAAAUUUUUGCAAUUGUUGAAAUUAUGCAGGAACAACCAAAGUUAAGAACCUUGAUAAUAAUAUUGGAUCCUUGACAGUAAAGCUUGCAGAAGAGGAUUUAAAAGAAAUUUCAGAUGCCGUGCACGUUAAUGAAGUUAGUGGCUCAAGAGAAAUGCCUGUAUUAGCUAAAUAUAACUGGAGGAUUGCAAACACUCCGCCUAAAAUUAUAAGCUAAAAUGUAUAAUUUUCUGGCAAAAGAACAAGAAUUGCUUCCUGUCUAUCUAUGUGAUAAAUAAAACAGGAGUAUCUUAUUUGUAUUGUAAUAAAGAAUACUGAUAAUUUGGUUGUUAUGCCAACAUUAUAUUCCAAAUUUAGGUGGUGCUGUAAAAGCUUUCAGGGGGAAAGUUGUCAAUCUCAUGCUGAGAAAUGGAACGAAUAUAUGGUUAUGCAAGAAUGUAGUAAUUUAAUCUUCCUAUAUGAUUAGGUUAUCAAUCAACGUUACCAUAAGAG
rnacentral:misc_RNA from 1 species